rnacentral:rRNA from 1 species
UGGAAAAAAAAAAAAUGAACAAGGUUUCCGUAGGUGAACCUGCGGAAGGAUCAUUACAGUGAAAUGCUGUAGACUUGGUGUCUUUAGAUAAAACACUAAAAUAUUUUAAGGCAAAAGCUUUAUUAUACUAAGUGGCCUGUAAAGGAAUCUAGCACCGCCCAACCUUGUCAAUAUAGUAAAACGUUACCUCGGUAGGUUUGCCUGCCGGUGGACACUAAAAAUCUUUUAAAUUUAAGCUUUAUUUAGUGUAUAGUCUGAUAAUAAAUUUAAUAAAUUUAAAACUUUCAACAACGGAUCUCUUGGUUCUGGCAUCGAUGAAGAACGCAGCGAAAUGCGAUAAGUAGUGUGAAUUGCAGAAUUCAGUGAAUCAUCGAAUCUUUGAACGCACAUUGCGCCCCUCGGUAUCCCGGGGGGCAUGCCUGUUCGAGCGUCAUUUCUACCCCUCAAGCUUUGCUUGGUUUUAGAUAUUGUAGGCCUUUUAUAGGCAGCUACAUAUCUUAAAUAUAGACGGCAGUACGUACUAGUUCCGAGCGUAGCAGUAAAAUAAUUCGCUUUUUGGAAUUCUAGUAUGCAUCUUACCGUAAAAAGUACUACUAUAGUUUGACCUCGGAUCAGGACAAGAGCUCCC